rnacentral:rRNA from 1 species
AUUGAACGCUGGCGGCAGGCCUAACACAUGCAAGUCGAGCGGAUGAAGGGAGCUUGCUCCUGGAUUCAGCGGCGGACGGGUGAGUAAUGCCUAGGAAUCUGCCUGGUAGUGGGGGAUAACGUCCGGAAACGGGCGCUAAUACCGCAUACGUCCUGAGGGAGAAAGUGGGGGAUCUUCGGACCUCACGCUAUCAGAUGAGCCUAGGUCGGAUUAGCUAGUUGGUGGGGUAAAGGCCUACCAAGGCGACGAUCCGUAACUGGUCUGAGAGGAUGAUCAGUCACACUGGAACUGAGACACGGUCCAGACUCCUACGGGAGGCAGCAGUGGGGAAUAUUGGACAAUGGGCGAAAGCCUGAUCCAGCCAUGCCGCGUGUGUGAAGAAGGUCUUCGGAUUGUAAAGCACUUUAAGUUGGGAGGAAGGGCAGUAAGUUAAUACCUUGCUGGUUUGACGUUACCAAAAGAAUAAGCACCGGCUAACUUCGUG